GCAUAAGAAUAAGCUUAUAAGAACAGAAUAUUGAUACUCUGCGAGCUAUGAGUAGAAUGCUCUAUUUUCACGAGUCACCUUUCUUGUAUGAACGAGUAUCUCAUUUUAACUAGCUGGAGAACAAAAAGCAUGGGCGACCGAGGAAGGCAUGUUGUCUGUUUUCUUGAAGGCCGUUCUGUUUGUUCCCAGCCCUAACUACGGUUGUCCAGCUAGUUCGGCAUGUUGUUCAUAUCACUAUGGUAGUCCAACGAGUUUGGCAUGUUGUGAGUUUGGCAUGUUCAUGACGGGAGCAGGUGCCAGUUUGUGAUUGCUUGUAAAGCUUGUAAAGUACUGUAUUACACUUGUAGUCAUUACUGUGAUUGCCACCGUAUUACACUUGUAAGGAUCUGGUUGCUCUUAUUUGAAGUAUUAUGUGUGCUUUU